rnacentral:lncRNA from 1 species
AAGUAAUAGGGUUUGCUUAACCCUAACUAUUAUAGUAAAGAUUGUAAAGAAGAGAAAGGAUGAUCUGAGAUCAGCAGCCUCCCUCAAGGUUAUGGUUCUCAAAUCCUGAAGACCACGUUGCACUAAUCCUGCUGAGUCAAAAUCUUCACUCAUCAGGGAAGAUGGCUCAUUCCCAGCAGACAGAAGGGGAGAGCUUCAGGAGAUAAAUAUUAAAUCAACCCUACAAACA